GUGCUUUCAGACCAAAGAACUACAGACUCUUCACAACCUGCUCAAACUCUUGGUACAGGACCUCACCACACGGGUCAAGAAGGUUGCUUUGUAGAACUGUUCCAGAAAACCUCACUAAACCACAUGGAGGGGCCUCAAGAUAGUCGUCCAAAUGAAACCGUACAAAAACCAAACUAGUACAACCCAAACGCUAAAGUCUCCUGCAGCCUACCAGAGAACCUCUAGGAACAGAGAAUCAGGACAGGAACUCUUACCUUCUGGACAACCAACGCUGGUUCACAAACAAGAAUACAGAAUGUGUCUGACCAAAAACCUCUGAAGACUCACUACAGCCAAGAUAAAGACACAACCCAGCUGCAUCAAAUCCACUAAUCACUGCACACAUUAGCACCAUGUGCUAACUGUGGCUAAAGAACCACAUUUACC
ensembl:lncRNA